rnacentral:rRNA from 1 species
UACAGAGGGUGCAAGCGUUGUUCGGAAUUAUUGGGCGUAAAGGGCGCGUAGGCGGUGCGGUAAGUCACCUGUGAAAUCUCCUGGCUCAACUGGGAGCUUGCAGGCGAAACUGCCGUGCUGGAGUGUGGGAGAGGUGCGUGGAAUUCCUGGUGUAGCGGUGAAAUGCGCAGAUAUCAGGAGGAACACCAAUGGCGAAGGCAGCUCGCUGGGACGGUACUGACGCUGAGACGCGAAAGCGUGGGGAGCAAACAGG